GUGGAAUCAGAGCAUAGCCAUAAUGGCAAGCCGUCCAUGUGAUUAUGGCUAACACUGCCUCCUGUGGGAGCAAGUUCCAUAGUUAAAUUAUGGGCUGCAUGAAGAAGUACGGUACUUAUUUAUUUAUCUGUCCUGAAUCUUCCAACAUUCAGCUUCAUUGGAAGUCUAUGAAUUCUAGUAUUAUGAGAGAGGGAGAAGAACUAUCCACUUUCUCUAUUCCAUACAUAACUUUAUAAACAGACUGAAAAUAGAUUCAUCCAUCCUUAACCAUCUCUCCCACAUGCUACUAGCCCUAAUAUAUGGAGGAAUAGCUAGUCCUAACCACACUCAAACUGCUUCUUGUUAGUAUUUAUAAUUUGUAGUAAAACCAACCCAGCAUAAUAUGCAAUAAAACUGGCCCAAAUACGGUACUUCAGUUCACUUGACCAACAUCCCUCGACAGAUCAGUUCCAAGCUGCUGAUGCCUGAGUGACAGGAGACUGCUGAUCUCGAUGAACAACUUAAACUCCUGUUUUCCCAUGAAGACUUGAACGUGCUUGGGAAAAAGUUAGGGCGCACAGGGAAGCCACAAUCUGGCAAAGGUCUUGACAGGCAUUUCAUAGCACAAUGAACAGAAUAAUACAGCUGCCUGUGUCUUCCUGUUACUUUUAUUCAAGCAGUUCAAGUUUUUGGAAGCAAGUGGAAAUUAACAGUAACUUGUAAAACAACAAAAUGUGUAGCAGAAUUAUAUACUAAAAUGUCUCUUUCUUUCAAGAAUCCAUUGAUUUCUGCUUCAUUGUUACAAGUAGUACAGGGCACAAACAAAUAGAUUUAACAAAAGAAGUAACUUCUAUUUUCUUUUUUCUUUUGAAUGCUGCUUUCCCCUUCAUUAAGAACAACACGAAUAUAUUUCUCAACUUUGGUGCCUUUCCGCAGCAGAACAUUUGCAGUACUUAGCAUUAUAUUUAGCAAUAGGACGUGUUAAAAACCAAAUUUUUAUCAGGAACUUAAUCGUGGAAUUAUUGAAGUGCAAGUACUAAUAGUUAACCAUACUUUAAUUAUAGCAGCCCUAAUCAUUAAUCUUGUCCAAUUUUAUGGCUGAACAAUAUGCCCAUUUAUCACAUUAAAUUACCAUGCCAAUUAUUUCACUGUGGCAAUUAAAUAGUUGCAUACAGGGAGAAAAAUACUACCCCCCUCUAAAAUAAAAUAACCAGCAAUAUCAGAACUGCUUGUAGUGUCUCCUUACCCAAAAUGGGUUUGAAGGGAUGGAAUGGGGUUAUGUGCAUCCACUUCAUCAGCUCUGAUGGUGCCAGCUAGUUGUCCUCUUUUCUUGUUUUAGUUGCCUAAAGCCACUGUGUACACCUGGCCUAGUAUUCCAUGCAAGGUGACAUUGGGAGGGGGCAAGAAUCACAGCGAGGCGAAUGAAAGCGGCACAGAAGAUGAUGCAAGACAGAAGAAAGUGAGUAAAAAAGGCGGGGAAGGCGAUAGAGAGAGUAAAAGGCAAUACCAUAAAAUGAAAGAAAGUGGGAGGGGUGGAGAAGAAGAAAGGGUAGAAAUAUCUGAGAACACGAAGAAGCAGAGAGGAAAAGGUAAGGGGUGGGGCCAAGGGUGGACAAGGAGUGUGGUUUGAGGUAGAAAGAUGGGGCCAGGAGGCCCACUGAUGCCCACUGCCCCAGAGUCCCCAUAAAGCUGGUGCUGAGCUUGGUUGGAACUCAUGAAACUGACUGGUGUAAUUAAAAAAUCCACAAAAAAUAUAGAACAACUGUGUAGAGAGGGGAUAUGGCAAUCAGAUAUUUGGUAGGGGAGGUAAGGCAAGAGGCUGGCAGAGCUGAGUUCAUGAUGUUGUGAGCAUGUGAAUAAGCCAAGGAAAUAAAAGUAAGGAAGCAAAGGAAAAAAUCUUAAUUUUGUAGUUUAAAGUAUAGAGAAAACCUUCACUGAUGAAAUUUGUAACUGACUGUGCCUCUGUAUGUCUACUCUGUGUUUUGCCUUUUGUAUGAUCAAUUAUUUAUUUAUUUAUUAAUAAAAAGAACUUGCAAAUCAUAGGCAAUAUGCACAUUAUAUUUGUGAUGGUUCACUUCACAAAUACAAAUCACCACUUGAUGUGCAUUAAUCAAACGCUGCAUCUGCAUGUCUAAACAAGUUACAAAAUACCGAAGUACUUGUGUUCACUUUUUACCCCACCUGCUUCUCCUCUGAGCUUAGUCUCUUGACUUGUCUUCUACAUUUAGGUUAGACUUAUAAAUACCACAAUCCAGCCUGGUUUGAACGCAUUAUUACCUCAGCCUUGAUUGAAACAGAACUUUAUGGUCAUGCAAGCAGCUUUUCAAAGUGCAAAUCAGACUUUUGUUUGAACUUUUUACAGUUACAUGUAAAACACAGAGCAGUUCAAAAGUAUUGGAAUUCUGUAAUUUUCUAUAAGCACUCAAGCAGGUUUGUGGUUUAAAGUUAUUAGAGCACAAUUUAUUUUUUAGGACAGCUUCAGUCUUCCAUACUGAAAUUUCAUUUCUUAUGGUCAAAGACUAUGUUUGGCUUGUUGUUAACUAAUUCAUAGAUGGGUGCAAAUGUAGAAGCAGAAAUAGAAAACCAACAAUUUAAAUGGUUUCUGGUAGAAAAUAAUGAUCAAGUCUUUCAAUUAUUUUUCUGCCAAGGCUAAAUGAAAAAUUAUUCAAUUAUACAUUGUUGAACAUGAUAGAAGAAGACUUGUACAGAAUGAUUCGCAUAAAACAAAUUGCAACAGCAGACAGACACUUCUUCAGAAACGGAAAAAUAUAUAUGAUGAAGGUAUUAACGAUUCACAAGCACAUAUACGUGUGGCCUGGGAAAUAAAUAAAUAGAUUAAAACCUGCAAAUGGUGAGAAGACCCUCCCUGGAGCAUGAAAAGGACUUCAAUUUGGGGAGGAAGCCCCAAAGAGACCGGAGGUGCAGUGGGGUUUUGUUUAGGCUGCUCAGCUUCCCUGCCUAGCGGCUGAUGCAUGGGGCAGCACAGCAGCAGCAGUCGCUUUCCUGCACAUCCCCCAGCGCUUCAACUUUAGUUAAAGAGAUGGUUGUGUGGAGAGAAGGUGGCAGCAAGAGCUGGAGAGCAAGACAAAAUUUAGAGACUUUUAAGAGGGUGCUUCCCACUUAACACAAUUUUCACUUAUGCGUGCAGGGGUCUAGAAUGUAACCCGUGCGUAAGUGGAGAGACACGGGUACACACUUUCCCUGCACACAACCCUGGUGAACCCUGCCCAUCUCAGUACAGCUGAAGUGUUAGGGACCACCCAAACGGACAUGCAUUCCCUAUUCCAUAUGAAUCAGAAGGUCAUUUGGUUAGGAAACUAAUUUUGGGUCAUUCCCUAGAGUAAUUUCUUAAAUCUGGUUUCAAUAUCAUUUCCAAACCAAGGUGCUAGAUUAAUAUAAGAUUAUUAAUAUUGCAUUUUCUCUCUACACUCAUAAAAUGAGCAUCUGCGGUUUCAAUUUUGCAGGUGUCUGAUACUGCCUAUCAAAGCCUUUAAAAAUAAAUAGCAGCAUAAAGUAAUUUCUCGGACCCCUCUUAACAAAAGUAGAAGAUAUUGCUGUUGUUCAUCAGAAUCCCCGACAGUUUUGUUUUAACAUGGGGAUCUUUUGCUUCCACAGUGUUAGAAAGUUAGCUAUCUUGAGGGAAAGUGUGUGAGAGAGAAACUGAGGCUGUAUACACAGCUGUGUUCAGUGCCAGAUUUAUGUAAAAGCUAAACAAGCUAUAGCUUAGGGCCCCACUCUCUUGGGGGCCCCCAAAAAAUUUAAAGGAAAAAAACAACUGGAUGUACAUUUCCAAAAUAUAAGAUAAAAAACAAAUAAAAUAAAACCUACGUACAGCAACAGGGGUUUGUGUUGUGUAGGUCCAUAAAUUACCAUAUAGCAUAUAUUCAACACAAAAAACAGUGACAAUUUGUUGUUGACAAAGGACAGCUGGACAUAUAAAGGGCCCCAUUACCUUCAGUAGCUUAGGGCCUCAUCAAACCUAAAUCCGGCCCUGGCUGUGUUGCUCCAGCAUGUUCCCACCACUAGAGUUUGAAGCAGAGGCUACAUGAUGUUAGCCACAAUCUACAGGUAACUGCUUGAGGAAUGCUGCUGUUUGAUGUGCUUUCCUGCAAAUCAGUUUCCAUCCAAUUGGAAAGCUGAAGCCGUGGUUAAGCUGAGGCGUGUAUAGUUCAGGCAGCCAUUGUGCAUGCGCAGAAGGCAGCUUCAGUGAAUUGGAAUUUGAGGCAGGGAAAGAAAUUGGAGAAUGGGUCUCAGGUGGAGACAUCCUCAGAAUGCAACUUAAAACACAACGGGAAGUAGGGGAAAAUUUAGUCUGGAUUUAUGUACAAUUUCCUACUUAUUUCAGAUCUCUUGGUUCCUUCGUGCUUCUCCCUGCAUUACAGGUGUUCUUAUUCACCUUACUAAAAUGCUCCCGAAAGCCAACCAUGAUGCAUUCAUACUUCUAGGUAACUCAGAAAAGAUCCCUUUUGUGCUAUCUUUUACUGAUGUGCAAAUAUGUAUAUUGGUAAAAUGCCGUACAAAAAGGGAUUGUGCUGCAAUUGGUGCCCAAUAAGAUCACGUCGUGAUUGCUUCUGUUUUGCAGUGUUUAAUCCUUGCAGCUCUUUGCAUCGGGAAUGUAGAGGGAGGAAGAGACAAAGGAACCGAAGCUGCUGAAAAUAGAUCGCAUUCUGAAUAAAGUUUAGAGAUUCUUUAAAGGCAACAAUGAAAGAUUCCUAAUGUGUCGUUUUCCUAAUGUGUCAUUUCAGAAACAAGAAGUAAUUACAAAUCCAAAAUUUGGGGAAGUUCGGAGGAGGGGAAUUUUAGAAGGAAAAUAUCUGUUACACAGAUCUCUGUAGGGCACUUCACAGAAAUGUUGAGUAGCCCCCAUUUCCACAGCAUGAAACAUUUGUCUGAAAGAGGAAUGCCUGCAAAGGCACAUGAUACCAUCACCUUGAUAAAGCUUACGAAGUCUGGGUCUGGUCAGUGUCUGGAUGCAUAUUUGCCUGGGAACCCCAUGUACGCAGAGACUUGGGUUCUAUGCUGAAGGAAAGGCAGGAUAUAAUGAAACAAGCAAAUGCGGGCCAAUUACUGCAUCUGGAAAAGCAAUCCUAGUUUGUCCAUACUUGUGCCUCACCUCCAAAUGCUACAGAAUAAGCAUGGUGUUGGUGACGAUACAUUGUGCUAAUAUAUUGGGUGACAGGUUUUUCAAUCAGUGGAGACAUCCAAUUCUUUUUUUCUGCCUGCAGCUCCACAUACCAACCAUUGUGAAG